AGGGCGGUAGCUCCAACGGUUAGAGCACUGGAUUCCAAAUCCAGGUGUUGAGUGUUCGAAUCACUCUCGCCCUG
rnacentral:tRNA from 2 species